AUGAAUGAUUAAUGAAGUGAGAGAGCUAAUUGGGGAAGUUGAAGAUAUUCAUGGAUAUUUAUGGACUGGAGUCCGUCUCAUGAAUGCGCUUUUGAGUACGGUUAAUCAAUGGUUUAGUUUUACUUGCAUGAAAAAUCAAGUUCCAGAAAAAACCUCAGUUGCUGGAGAUGGCAGUCGUGUUCGGUGAUCUUAACUCAGCCUCUGGUUUAAAGAAACUUGAUGAGUACCUUCUGACUCGUAGUUAUAUUACUGGGUACCAAGCUUCAAAGGACGAUAUUACAGUUUAUGCUGCUCUUUCAAAGGCACCGUCGUCUGAAUAUCAUACAAUUUAGCCUCGCAUGCAUGGUUUCUCGCACUCACUGUAUAAAAACCAAAAUAAUG